rnacentral:rRNA from 1 species
AUAAAACUCCUAAACCCCUGUGAACUUACUGGUGUUUGGCUCGCCAGAUAUAGUCUGGUCCGUAAGCAAAUCGACUGCCUGCCUGUGUAAUAGGCAGGUAAGCUUUUGUCGCGGGGUCCCGGAUCAACCCGGGCUAGAUAGCCACUUAACUAUAUACUUUUUAUAAAAUCUGUGAACUUACUAGGUUGGAUUCUCGCCAGAGAUAGUCUGGUUUCUGCUUCGCGGAUCGCCUACCCGUGACACCUGUCACAGGCAGGUAUGCUUCUGCCGCGGGUCCGUAAGUAAAUCAUCUGUUUCGCAAGGGACGGCGAUUUACCUGUGGAAGAGGUCCGCUAACUAUAUUCUUAGUAUAGUUUGUUCACUAGAUCAAACAUUCUGAAUAAAAACUUAAACUAGUUAAAACUUUCAACAACGGAUCUCUUGGUUCUGGCAUCGAUGAAGAACGCAGCGAAAUGCGAUAAGUAAUGUGAAUUGCAGAAUUCAGUGAAUCAUCGAAUCUUUGAACGCACAUUGCGCCCAUUAGUAUUCUAGUGGGCAUGCCUGUUCGAGCGUCAUUUCAACCCUUAAGCCCCUGUUGCUUAGCGUUGGGAGCCUACAGCCUGCUGUAGCUCCUUAAAGGUAGUGGCGGAGUCGGUUCACACUCUAGACGUAGUAAAAUCUUUAUCUCGCCUAUGGAUGAGCCGGCGCCUUGCCGUAAAACCCCUAAUCUUUCACAAGGUUGACCUCGGAUCAGGUAGGAAUACCCGCUGAACUUAAGCAUAUCAAUAAGCGGAGGAAAAGAAACCAACAGGGAUUGCCCUAGUAACGGCGAGUGAAGCGGCAACAGCUCAAAUUUGAAAUCUGGCCUUCGGGUCCGAGUUGUAAUUUGCAGAGGAUGCUUUGGGCGCGGUGCCUUCCGAGUUCCCUGGAACGGGACGCCUUAGAGGGUGAGAGCCCCGUACGGUUGGACACCAAGCCUCUGUAAAGCUCCUUCGACGAGUCGAGUAGUUUGGGAAUGCUGCUCUAAAUGGGAGGUAAAUUUCUUCUAAAGCUAAAUAUUGGCCAGAGACCGAUAGCGCACAAGUAGAGUGAUCGAAAGAUGAAAAGCACUUUGAAAAGAGGGUUAAAUAGCACGUGAAAUUGUUGAAAGGGAAGCGUUUGCGACCAGACCUUUUCCCAGCGGAUCAUCCGGUGUUCUCACCGGUGCACUUCGCUGGGUUGAGGCCAGCAUCGGUUUCCGCAGGGGGAUAAAAGCCUGGGGAACGUAGCUCCCUCGGGAGUGUUAUAGCCCCUCGCAUAAUACCCUUGCGGGGACCGAGGACCGCG